GCGCGCAAGCGUGAUAGAUUGAGCCAAAGUGUUUUUCAAAUGAAAAGCUUUUAUCGAGUGUAAAAAGCUCGACGAAUAAGGACUGGGUAAGACUAGUGCCAGCCGCCGCGGUAAUACUAGCGGUCCAAGUCGCAGCCAUUUUUAUUGGGUCUAAAACAUCCGUAGCUUGUUUAAUAAGUUUCUUGUGAAAUUUUGUAUCUUAAAUAUGAAGCGUGCAAGAAAUACUGUUAAACUAGAGACUGGAAGACGUAAGAAGUACAUUCGGAGUAGCGGUUAAAUGUGUUAAUCCCGGAUGGACUCACAAUUAGCGAAGGCAUCUUACGAGUACAGUUCUGACAGUAAGGGAUGAAGGCUAGGGGCGCAAAUGGGAUUAGAUACCCCAGUAGUCCUAGCAGUAAACACUGCACACUAAACAUUAGUACCUCCUCGAGAGGUAUUAGUGCUGUAGGGAAGCCGAAGAGUGUGCUACCUGGGAAGUAUAGUCGCAAGGCCGAAACUUAAAG
rnacentral:rRNA from 1 species